CUGGCAGACAAGACACAAAACAAAAAUGUGAAAGAGAUGACCUGCUGUGGAACCGGAGAAGAUCACAAACCAACAAAUGCAUGUGCAUCCUUCGCUUCUUGUUCUGAUGUAUUCACGGAGAAGUUGACGUGGAAGUGCGCGGAGGCAAUGGCCUGGAUUCGUGGGGCAUGCCGCGUGAGUGCACAGGUGGCGCAGUACAUGGACGAUGGCAAGAGAAGAAGUGCAGUCAUUUGGGCAUUGAUGUGAUGGGCGGGGGAUAAUAUAGGAAGCUGGCGGUCGCUUGCCUUCCCCGUCAGUUCAUGGGAUGGACAGGGGAGAAUAUAGGAAGCCGGCGGCCGCUCGCAUUCCCCGACAGUUCACCUCCCCGACAGUUACGGCGUCAUGAGGAGAUGAAGAGAAGAUCGUUGCUUUAUUGGGCUGAUAGGAAAUAGACAGG